ACGAACGCUGGCGGCGUGCCUAAUACAUGCAAGUAGAACGCUGAAGAGAGGAGCUUGCUCUUCUUGGAUGAGUUGCGAACGGGUGAGUAACGCGUAGGUAACCUGCCUUGUAGCGGGGGAUAACUAUUGGAAACGAUAGCUAAUACCGCAUAACAAUGGAUGACCCAUGUCAUUUAUUUGAAAGGGGCAAAUGCUCCACUACAAGAUGGACCUGCGUUGUAUUAGCUAGUAGGUGAGGUAACGGCUCACCUAGGCGACGAUACAUAGCCGACCUGAGAGGGUGAUCGGCCACACUGGGACUGAGACACGGCCCAGACUCCUACGGGAGGCAGCAGUAGGGAAUCUUCGGCAAUGGGGGCAACCCUGACCGAGCAACGCCGCGUGAGUGAAGAAGGUUUUCGGAUCGUAAAGCUCUGUUGUAAGUCAAGAACGAGUGUGAGAGUGGAAAGUUCACACUGUGACGGUAGCUUACCAGAAAGGGACGGCUAACUACGUGCCAGCAGCCGCGGUAAUACGUAGGUCCCGAGCGUUGUCCGGAUUUAUUGGGCGUAAAGCGAGCGCAGGCGGUUUGAUAAGUCUGAAGUUAAAGGCUGUGGCUCAACCAUAGUUCGCUUUGGAAACUGUCAAACUUGAGUGCAGAAGGGGAGAGUGGAAUUCCAUGUGUAGCGGUGAAAUGCGUAGAUAUAUGGAGGAACACCGGUGGCGAAAGCGGCUCUCUGGUCUGUAACUGACGCUGAGGCUCGAAAGCGUGGGGAGCGAACAGGAUUAGAUACCCUGGUAGUCCACGCCGUACACGAUGAGUGUUUGGUGUUGGAUCCUUUCCGGGAUUCAGUGCCGCAGCUAACGCAUUAAGCACUCCGCCUGGGGAGUACGACCGCAAGGUUGAAACUCAAAGGAAUUGACGGGGGCCCGCACAAGCGGUGGAGCAUGUGGUUUAAUUCGAAGCAACGCGAAGAACCUUACCAGGUCUUGACAUCCCGAUGCUAUUUCUAGAGAUAGAAAGUUACUUCGGUACAUCGGUGACAGGUGGUGCAUGGUUGUCGUCAGCUCGUGUCGUGAGAUGUUGGGUUAAGUCCCGCAACGAGCGCAACCCCUAUUGUUAGUUGCCAUCAUUCAGUUGGGCACUCUAGCGAGACUGCCGGUAAUAAACCGGAGGAAGGUGGGGAUGACGUCAAAUCAUCAUGCCCCUUAUGACCUGGGCUACACACGUGCUACAAUGGUUGGUACAACGAGUUGCGAGUCGGUGACGGCAAGCUAAUCUCUUAAAGCCAAUCUCAGUUCGGAUUGUAGGCUGCAACUCGCCUACAUGAAGUCGGAAUCGCUAGUAAUCGCGGAUCAGCACGCCGCGGUGAAUACGUUCCCGGGCCUUGUACACACCGCCCGUCACACCACGAGAGUUUGUAACACCCGAAGUCGGUGAGGUAACCUUUUGGAGCCAGCCGCCUAAGGUGGGAUAGAUGAUUGGGGUG
rnacentral:rRNA from 1 species